AGAUCAACUUAUUUAGCUACUUUUGAACUUUAUGGGCAUCCCAGAGGAGAGGAAAAGCAGAGGCAAAUGGUAGAAUAUGAAAACGUUUCUUCCUUCAUCAAAACAAUAUAGGUUCUUUCCCAAAUGGCAAAUAUGAAAUUGCAAAGACCUUAUGAAACUGUUGUCAUCUCUCUCAUGGGAAGUCAGCAGCAGGCACUACUAGAGCAAUAGGGAAACAAACUUUUACUUCCCUACUUGAUGCAUCUCCUUCAAUCAAGUCUAUCCCAGGAGAAGAAGGAACAAGGUUGUUGUCAAGCCAAACAGCAGGCUGAGAGAAACAUCACUUUUAACUUAGUGAUAGAGAAGGAGAAAAAAAUAGGCCCAGAAAAAAUAAGUUUACUGUAUAUUCAGAAUCAAACUGUGUAAGU